rnacentral:misc_RNA from 1 species
GAACGCACAUUGCGCCCCUUGGUAUUCCGGGGGGCAUGCCUGUUCGAGCGUCAUUUCAACCCUCAAGCUCUGCUUGGUCUUGGGCCGCGCCGGCAACGGCGGGCCUCAAAAACAGUGGCGGCGCCAUCGUGUUCCUCAGCGUAGUAAUUCUUCUCGCUGUUGGGCCCCGGUGGCCGCUGGCCAGCAACCCCCAAUUUUUCUAUGGUUGACCUCGGAUCAGGUAGGGAUACCCGCUGAACUUA